rnacentral:rRNA from 1 species
UGAGUAACACGUAUCCAACCUGCCGUCUACUCUUGGACAGCCUUCUGAAAGGAAGAUUAAUACAGGAUGGCAUCAUGAGUUCACAUGUUCACAUGAUUAAGGGUAUUCCGGUAGACGAUGGGGAUGCGUUCCAUUAGAUAGUAGGCGGGGUAACGGCCCACCUAGUCUUCGAUGGAUAGGGGUUCUGAGAGGAAGGUCCCCCACAUUGGAACUGAGACACGGUCCAA